rnacentral:rRNA from 1 species
ACCUGCGGAGGGAUCAUUACUGAGUUUACGCUCUAUAACCCUUUGUGAACAUACCUAUAACUGUUGCUUCGGCGGGUAGGGUCUCCGUGACCCUCCCGGCCUCCCGCCCCCGGGCGGGUCGGCGCCCGCCGGAGGAUAACCAAACUCUGAUUUAACGACGUUUCUUCUGAGUGGUACAAGCAAAUAAUCAAAACUUUUAACAACGGAUCUCUUGGUUCUGGCAUCGAUGAAGAACGCAGCGAAAUGCGAUAAGUAAUGUGAAUUGCAGAAUUCAGUGAAUCAUCGAAUCUUUGAACGCACAUUGCGCCCGCCAGCAUUCUGGCGGGCAUGCCUGUUCGAGCGUCAUUUCAACCCUCAAGCUCUGCUUGGUGUUGGGGCCCUACAGCUGAUGUAGGCCCUCAAAGGUAGUGGCGGACCCUCCCGGAGCCUCCUUUGCGUAGUAACUUUACGUCUCGCACUGGGAUCCGGAGGGACUCUUGCCGUAAAACCCCCAAUUCUCCAAAGGUUGACCUCGGAUCAGGUAGGAAUACCCGCUGAACUUAAGCAUAUCAAUAAGCGGAGGAA